rnacentral:rRNA from 1 species
UGGGGAAUACUGCACAAUGGGGGAAACCCUGAUGCAGCCAUGCCGCGUGUGUGAAGAAGGCCUUCGGGUUGUAAAGCACUCUCAGUAGGGAGGAAAGGUAGCAGCUUAAUACGCUGUUGCUGUGACGUUACCUACAGAAGAAGGACCGGCUAACUCCGUGCCAGCAGCCGCGGUAAUACGGAGGGUCCGAGCGUUAAUCGGAAUUACUGGGCGUAAAGCGUGCGCAGGCGGUUUGUUAAGCGAGAUGUGAAAGCCCCGGGCUCAACCUGGGAAUUGCAUUUCGAACUGGCGAACUAGAGUCUUGUAGAGGGGGGUAGAAUUCCAGGUGUAGCGGUGAAAUGCGUAGAGAUCUGGAGGAAUACCGGUGGCGAAGGCGGCCCCCUGGACAAAGACUGACGCUCAGGCACGAAAGCGUGGGGAGCAAACAGGAUUAGAUACCCUGGUAGUCCACGCCGUAAACGAUGUCUACUCGGAGUUUGGUGUCUUGAACACUGGGCUCUCAAGCUAACGCAUUAAGUAGACCGCCUGGGGAGUAUGGCCGCAAGGUUA